UACGUAGGUGACAAGCGUUGUCCGGAUUUACUGGGCGUAAAGGGCGCGUAGGCGGCCUUCUAAGUCGAACGUGAAAUCCCCGGGCUCAACCCGGGAACUGCGUCCGAUACUGGAAGGCUUGAAUCCGGGAGAGGGAUGCGGAAUUCCAGGUGUAGCGGUGAAAUGCGUAGAUAUCUGGAGGAACACCGGUGGCGAAGGCGCAUCCUGGACCGGCAUUGACGCUGAGGCGCGAAAGCCAGGGGAGCAAAGCGGG
rnacentral:rRNA from 1 species